AACGCUAGCGGCAGGCUUAACACAUGCAAGUCGAGGGGUAACAGGGAUUGCUUGCAAUCCGCUGACGACCGGCGCACGGGUGCGUAACGCGUAUGCAACCUACCUUCUACAGGGGGAUAGUCAAUAGAAAUGUUGAAUAAUACCCCAUACGAUCUUUGAAUAGCAUUAUUUAAAGAAGAAAGUUCCGGCGGUAGAAGAUGGGCAUGCGUCCUAUUAGUUAGUUGGAGAGGUAACGGCUCCCCAAGACAUCGAUAGGUAGGGGUCCUGAGAGGGAGACCCCCCACACUGGUACUGAGACACGGACCAGACUCCUACGGGAGGCAGCAGUGAGGAGUAUUGGACAAUGGAGGCAACUCUGAUCCAGCCAUGCCGCGUGCAGGAAGACUGCCCUAUGGGUUGUAAACUGCUUUUAUACAGGAAGAAAUGUACCUACGUGUAGGUAUUUGACGGUACUGUACGAAUAAGGAUCGGCUAACUCCGUGCCAGCAGCCGCGGUAAUACGGAGGAUCCAAGCGUUAUCCGGAAUCAUUGGGUUUAAAGGGUCCGUAGGCGGUCUUUUAAGUCAGAGGUGAAAUCCUACAGCUCAACUGUAGAAUUGCCCUUGAUACUGAAGGACUUGAGUUAUUGUGAAGUAGUUAGAAUGUGUGGUGUAGCGGUGAAAUGCAUAGAGAUCACACAGAAUACCGAUUGCGAAGGCAGAUUACUAACAAUAUACUGACGCUGAGGGACGAAAGCGUGGGUAGCGAACARGAUUAGAUACCCUGGUAGUCCACGCCGUAAACGAUGGAUACUAGCUGUUCGACCAACAUUGGUUGGUUGAGUGGCUAAGCGAA
rnacentral:rRNA from 1 species